rnacentral:lncRNA from 1 species
AAGCAUUUAAUUUACUAAACUAUAGUAUAUUAGGCUAGAAUUAUCAAAUCUUUAUCAAUACAGAAAAUUAUACCAACACUUAACUAACAAUCACAAAAUCAACCAUUUCAGUUAUUCUCAUAAACAUAUAAUUUCAUCUCACGUAAUGCAAAUAAUCUCAAACUCAAUCAAGUCAAAUAAUUCAAUUCCACAUUAUUUCUAUCAAAUUAGGAUCAGAUGACUCAUCCUUACAUUUCCUCACAUUUUUAAAUUUCAGUAACCACUUGACAAGACUAUCCGCCCGGCUCAGUCUUGCCAUCUCACAUACUCGGGUAGCUAUCCGCCCGGCUCAGCUUUCCCGAUCACACAAUAUCCAUACAAAAGUCAUCAAUCCUUAAUCACAAUCAUUUCACUUCACAACACAUCACAAUCAAUUCACUUUAUAACAAGCCAAAAACAUAACUAAUAUCAACUCAGUCAACCAAGAAAUUAUCAAGUAAUCAAACAGCAGUCCCUACUCAAUAUACACAAAGUUUAGUCUAUUAAAUACUUACCAAAAGUUAUAGGAUAACAAAGUAAUCCUAUUCUUUUUCUCUUACCACUUCCUUGCCUUUGGAUGAACCUAUUCACAUAUUCAAUACAAAUACAAUUCAAUCACAAGGCAUAAAUAUAUAUAUAUAUAUAUUUACUAUCAAUAAAAUAUCACAUUUCAACAAAAUAACAUAUAUUUUAGAUAUUAAUAUGAUGCAUGAGAUGAAUGACAACAAAUCAACAUAUUUGUUGAUGAAGGCAGCUUGUAGGUACUGAAUUAGAAAUUACACCAAAACUUAUGUACAAUUAAUAAAAAUCUCAUAUUUUCCAGAAUUACACUUCCAUUUUUAUAGAAACCAUAGCAGAAAGAAUCACCUCAAAAUCAUUGGUAUAGAAAUAGUUAUGGCAUUUUCUAUACAGCUGCUCAAAUUUCCAUCUAAACAGAACAGAAAAAAGUUUCCUAUUAAAUGACCAAUCAAACGAAUGAAUUUUCUGAUGAAACUCUCCAGAUAUAAAGUUAACAUUCUAAAGUUUCUAUAGACACUAAUUUUACUCAAUUUGGACUUUUCUAGCUCAAGUUGUGAAACACACAAUUAACAACAAAUUUCUGAAUCCUAAGCCCGAUUUCUGCUUAAAACAGUUUCGGGCAGGCCAUAUUAAGUUCAACAUAUCUCACGUUAUACUCAACCAAAAAUUAUGAAAUUUUUCAGACAUAUACUACAUAUAUAAAUGAACAACUUUCAUGUUUAACUCUCUGCUUGGUUCAGCCUCUAAAUGCCUCAAAAUGUCAGCACAAAAACCAGGUCACCUGCUGAACCAAAAACAGAGCAGCAGCAAAAUCGAACCUCAUAAGUUCCUACUCACUCAACAAUCUGCAAAACCAUUUUACAGAGAUAUUCUUGAGACAUAUACCUACAACUUUUAUGUUUGAAAAUUUUCGAGAUAAAGCCUCUAAGGUCACGAAAUCAUAAGUGAAAAAUCUGCCCAGAAAUUUCAGCUUCAAGAUCACAAGUAAAAGCAUGUUUACUCUUAAUUAAACAAUUCCAAAACACAUAAUCAUCAACAAUUUCAUAUCAUUAACCCUAAUUUACAGCAAAAUCAAGCAAUUAAAAUUACUCACCUUUGUUUUCCUUGAUUAAGAAAGCCCAAAUCUUUCAAGCUUAAAAGAAGAAUUUGAUUUUCACUUACUAAAAGUUUUGUAGAGUUUGAUUUGGAAAAUCAAAGUUGAAGAAGGAAAGGAGAAAAAUGAGAGAGACAAAGAAGAAAAGGAAAUUGGAAAGCAUACGUAGAUAAGAACAAAUGAAAGAGGUGGUAUAUUGGUGUGGAAAUAGGCAAAUUACAAUUUAAUCCUCUUUCUUUCUAAUUUUUCAAUUUAGUCCAAAAUCAUUACUUUUCAAUUAAAUCAAUAUGUAACUAAAUAAUUUAUUUAUCUACCACAUAAUAUAAUAAAAUAGAUCAUAUAUAAUCAUGAUGCAAAUGACAUGUUUAAUGACAUGCUAAUGAAUAUUAAUUAUUAAUAAAAAGAAAUAAAUAAAUUUGGUUGUGACAAUCAGGCCUUAGGCCCAAAAUAUGCAGGCUUUGUACUUAUACUAAGAAACAUUGCCUUGUUUGUUUUAAAAUUUGCUUUGAUAAGUUUAUGGCAUGCGCGUCGGGCCUACUAUCCCCUAUUGAUAGGAAGCCCAAACCUAAAAAUCCUAGGAAAGAAAAGACCUACCAUGAAUUGUGUGCGGAAGUAAAAAGGUUGGAAGGAAGAUUUGUAUAUUAAUGUGUGUGCUAACCUUUUUUCUUUUAGCUUCGUGCAUAUCAUGUGCAUCAUGCAUCACAUGCAUCACACUAACCAUUUGUUUUUUAGCCAUAUAGAUUCUCCUUUAGGUUGGAAGAGGCAAGAUAGCAGAAGGCUAGAACGGGUACCCAUUUCUCCAAGGAUUUGAACCAUAUUAGAGCUUGUUGAAAGACCAAGGCGCCAAGCUACCAAUGAAGCCACAUCUGAAAUGGCCAACGAAAGAGCUAAUGAGCAAGACAUAAAGAUCCUCAAGAAUGCCAUCAUCGACGAUCCGAGGGGUGUGACCCCAAGGAACUCCAAUAGCUUUGGGCUGGGAUGGCUGCGAACCAAGCCCCACCUACUACUCCAAUUGCACCAGCUAAUCCCCCUAGUGUUAUUGACCCAAUUGCAGUUGUAACUAAGACUGCUGCUACAACUGCAAUCACUAUUACUGCUGCUGUGAAUGCUAAUGUUGAAGACCCUACUAGAAGAGGAGUGCCACAAAAUUUCUGAGAUUUUGACAAAUAUGUACUGGACUAAUCCAAAAGGGAAAUAACCCUUGCCACUAAUGAAGCUGUAAGUGGCUUAAGUGCUAGGCUUGACAAGAUGCAAGACAUGUUGAAACUUAAAGGGUUAGACUCGACCUAUGAUUUCAAGGAGUUAUUAUUGACUAGUGAGGACAAGCUGCUUGCAAAGUUCAAAAUGCCUGAGAUGAACAAGUUCAACAGGAUUGGUGAUCCAAAGAUUCAUCUAAAGCAAUAUGUGACCAUCAUAGGGACUUGGUUCUUGACUAGGUGGAGAAACAAGGUUUGGUUGAUGAAGAACAAGCCUUCUGAAAAAGACCAAGUCCAUAUGAUGGUUCGAAAUGUUCUUCCUGGUUGGGUCAAAAGGCUUCAGAUGAUGAAUCUAAAGACUUUUAUGAACCUAUAUGAUAAUGCGCUUCAGAUUGAGAAAAUCGAAAAUGACAAAAGGAACACUAUGCAAACUGGCAGAAGGCCAAACUAUCAGGCUGAGGGGAGUAGAACUCUAGAUGUGAAUGCUAUCCAACAAUCGAGAAAGUUGUCUUACUUUAAACAAGCUCUCUCAAACAUCUUUGAGAUAUUAUUACAUAAUGGAAUAUGCUCCAACCAACCACUUCCAAGAACCCACGAAACCGAAAUGCACCCGGCUACAAACCCAAUACCUACUGUAAGUUCCAUUAAGCACCCGACCACCAUACAAACAACUACAUCCGGCUGAAACAUGAAAUUUAAGACCUUAUCAAUGCCAAAAAAAUUAACCAACCCAGACCAGCCCAGUACUAAAUAAUAAACCCUUUACUAAACUACAACACACCACCACCAAAUUAAGUGUCCACGAUCAUCCCUGACUUUACUGAAGAGGAAGUCAUGAACUCUUUCAAAUUGUGCCGAGUGGCUAGGGUCAGAGGAAUAUGAGUCUUAUAUUCUAGAGGUUUGGAAGAAAGGAGAAAAAAAGUCGAUCAUGGCAAUUGAUAUUUGGUACAAUUCUGGAGAUGAGUGUAAGGUCCAAGAUGCUGAGGCAAAGAUAUUUGGCUGACAGUGACUCUGAUAAAGAAGUCAAGCUAGUGGAUAAGGAGGUCCAAGAAUUGAAGCAGGUCGAAAAAGCCCUGAAGGGGAUAUGGGUUGCUAGAGUAGCUAGAGAAGGAAUAGAAGAUAGCCGACAUCUGAGAGUUGCUGAUGCACUCAUCGGAUCAUUGGAAGGCUCUAAUUCGAGCCUUGUCCAGUAUAAACAUUAUCACAGCAGCUGCCCCCGAAGAAAUUAUCAAAACGGUAACUGACAAAACCAUCGAGAUGAUCAUUUUCUCGGAUGAAGACUUGCCACUCGAGGGGAGAGACCAUAACAAGGCUUUUUAUAUAACUGUAAAAGUCAAGGGAAAAAGGACCCCAUGUGUGAUGGUAAAUGAUAGGUCAGCCAUCAAUGUGUGUCCUUCUCUCAUACUCCCUAAUCUAGGGAUGACUAUGAAAGAUCUGAAGCCAUCAGAUAUGGUAAUAAGAGCCUAUGAUGAGACGAAGAGGUACGUGGAAGGAAUGGUCUUAACACUGAUGGAAAUGGGUCCUAUCCAAUCUUGGGUGAAUUCAUUGUCUUGGACAUCCCAGUAACUUUCACAUUAUUACUGGGUAGGCUAUGGUUUCAUGCCUUAGGAGGAGUGAAUUCCACUAUAGAUUAGAAGGUCAAAUUCCCUCAUGAAGGCAAAAUAGUGACUAUUAAUGUCGAAGGUGGUAAGAUUUUCUCAGCUAUCCAGGAAGCUGCAUAGGAGCUGGAAGCCCUUACUAGAUCUCUAUGAGGAUUAUAUGGAUCCUAAAGUAGCCAAAAUAUUCAGAAAGGUGGAUUUUAUGCCUAUAAUGGGGCUGGGGCAGACUCAACAGGCUAUUACAAAGCUGCUAGAUUUUAAGGGUUAGAAAACUCAGCCUGGGUUGGGUUAUCAUAAGGAUGAAGAUGAGGGCAAAUCAAAAGGUAAAACUCUAAAAGAUAUAUUUUUACAAGAGUACAAAACUUACUCUAGGGAGCCUGAACUUAUUACCAUAGAUGGGAUUGAGGUGCCAAAAUUCAAGAUAUUCAAGAGCAUGAUCAUCGACAGGAUAGUCAAGUUGAGCAUCAAGGAGGUCCGUGAGAAGAUCACCAUCAAGGUUGAAGAGUUAAAGUUGGAAGAAUUCACCGCUCCAUUUGAGAAGCUAGACCCGCAAGAGCUAGCUGCCCUAAUAGAAGGGCCAAUUAUUGAUAUAUUUUAGGAUGAUGUAAUAAUUACAAUCUCUAUAAGGAUGAUGUUUCUUUCAAAGAUCAAUGAUAUGAACAAUAAUUUUGCUUACUUUGCGAUGUUUUUCCUGAUGGUAGUGCACAUUUUUAUAAUCAUGACAUGUGCAUAUUUGACAUUAAUUCCAUACAAAUUGACUCAUUUAAUUUAGACACAAGUGAUAAUCACAAGGAUUGGUCAUUUUGAUUAUCCUUUGCACUUUGCGGAUAUCGAACGACUAAAUGAUUAUCGACUGGGCAGACUUCAUACUUUUUAGUUUAUAGGACUGAAGCCGUCCUGCUAGUUGAGUUGGAUUGAAGUCUUUAAGAGUUAUGCUGGAGGCAAAAAUACAUGAGUACCAAUAGGCUGAAUGGAGAUAACAACAGCUGGCUCUAGUUGAUGAAAGAAGGAUGAAAGCCUUAUAUCAUAUGCAAUUAUACCAAGAAUGGAUAACCAGGUUAUUUAAUAAGAAAGUGAAGAUAGGAAAGAUCAGAGUUGGGGAUUUGGUGUUAACACAUAAAAGACCUACUUUGUCCAAUCCAAGAGGGGAAGUUCAAGCCUAAUUAGGAAGGCCUAUACUUAAUGAAGAAAUUUUGCCUAAAGGUGCCGCUAAGAUCUCAGAUUUGGAAGGAAACGAGUUCUCUGAGCCAAUCAACUUGGAUUGUCUCAAGAAAUACUAUGUGUAAAAAAGUAAAAUAUAAUAGAAAAGAUAGCUUGUUGAUCAGAAGAUCCAAAAGGGCUAGUCAAGCAAAAAUUAGGGCAAUGAGAAAAAAUAAUCAGUUAGAAAAUCAAAAUAUACCCAUUUGGGCCUUCAUUAAAUAAAUAAAAUUAUUUGGGAUUUUUAUCAAGCAUGUAUAUGUUUGUUUAUUAUCUUGCGCACUAACUGAAAAGGAGAACUAAGCUAAAGUACUAAGCAAAAUGAAUGAGAUCUAAAAAGAAACAUAUUUAUCAUUUUCUUCUAUUUGCUUUUGCAUCCACAUCUUUAGAAUCUAUAGCUAGCUCUCGGGUCCUCUUGAACCUUGCAAAUCUAGGGGAAGUAGUAAUUUGAAGCUCGACCCAAGACUUGUAAUUAUCAUAUAUGAUUAGAUCACUUUCGAAGUCAAGAUUCCGCUUUAUGUCUCGGCGAGGCGAGAGUCUCUCUAUCUUGUCUAGGAAAUCCUGUCCGAAUGGGAAGCCUUCAAAUUUAGGUGGGAAUUCCAAGAUCCGUUAUUUCUGCCUGUACUGAAGACAAAGCCUUUAAGGGUGUGUAGAAAGUGGAUGCCCAUAAUCCAAGUCAAGACACACAGUCAUCGUAUUCCUUAAGUGUAACGUGCUUGAUUUUCCAUCAGGGAUAGGACCAGCGGCUAAAUGUAUUUGGGAUGCCCUUCAUCCAAGAAAUCCAACCAUCAUGGCCCUACGGGAUAAAUAUUGAUCGAACUUACAUGUGUUUUGACUUGUAUUUAUCAACAUUCCUCGGAAUGGUUAGUAUUUGGAGCUUUUCACGCAAGUAAAUAUGCAAAAGAAAAAGGGAGAAAAAGAGAAAAAGAAAAAAAAGCUAAGUUGAAAAUCCGAAAGGCGGCUUAGGAAAAAAUAGAGUCUGCUAAGCUAAAAACCUAAAAGGGUGGCUUAGGCAAAAGUUAAGCCAAAAGCCUGCUAAGUGGAGAACUUGAAAGUGCGUCUUACGCAAAAGUUAAGGCAAAAAUAAAUGAGGAGAAAAAGAUUUUUGUAUACUUGUAAGAGAAUGAGGUUGUCUCCAAACCGUUGGUGGGUUUUGUACAUGUUUAACCGAAUGAUGGUUUUAGCCAAAAUGAUAGGUAUAAAACUUGCUCCAUAAUCCACUUGAUCUAUGAUACCAGUAAUCCUAAUGUCUCCCCCUCCCUGAGGUGUGCAAUCAGUAAAAAUUGGGCAUAAAGAUAAAAGCCCAGCAUCCGAAUCCAAGCAGGUGUUCCAUUUUCUUUCUUCUCACAACAAAAGAUUAAAGAAGUAAAGGUAAUAUGUUCACCAAUAGAAUGGGAAAGAAUCUCAGUUGAGGACAUGUCAAAUAGCUCCACCAAUUUAUCGAGAAAGGGAUCAUCAAGCUUUGGUAAAGCAAUCAAAUAGGAGGAAUCCAUAGGGCCUCCAAGAAUGGUGGAGAACUCUUCAAUUAUGGGGGCACAAAUCUUGCUCAUUGAACCUAAAGACAUGGUCUCUUAGACACUAAAAGUUGAUGGUAGAAUCGAAACCUAUAUUCAAGCUUGGUGUCUUGCAUGGCUUUGAAAGAUGAAAGAUGAAAUUUUCCAAGUUUGAUCCAAUAAGGUUUUGAGAAGGGUUUGUAGGCUUUUGGCACUUUUUUGGGACAUGUUUUUUGGCUUUUGGAUGAAGAAUCACAUAUGGUGAAGUGUGAGGGGUGCAUGUAUACUUAUAGGCUCAAAAUUAAUGUUUUAUUCAGACUCUGUGACUUUAGAGCCAAAUUGGCUGAUCAUACAGCCGAUCAACGUUACCACAAAGACUUUCAGCUUUUCGGAGGACUUUUCAGUAUUUUCUUGCCUAAUCAUAUAUACACCCAAAAUAGACAACAUUAAGGAGAAAUAAUGACAAUGCAUGUGCCGGAAGCGCAAAAUUUUAUUAAUCAAAAGUCGAGUUUUACAAGCAAUGGAAAAAAGGGAAAGUACAAGUAGUAAUAAAAGAAUCAAAAGCUGGGGUUCUCUCCCGAAUUCCCCAUCUCAUUAUCUGACUCAGUGUCCAUCUCUUAUGUCCACAAGGUAGAUAGCUGAAGUGUCAGAGUGUCGAUCAAACAUUACUGAGUGUCAAUUUGACGUUGUCAGUUGUCCACCUGCCCUUGUAAGUUCUCGUGGUCCCUUUGUUGAAAACCUAAAAGAAAAUUAGUUAGUGAAUUUUAUACAUGCAUACAUGCAUAAAUUUUACAUUGCAUAAAUCAUUUCUUACUCGCCAGUCCUCACCGAGGAUGAAGAAUUGCCUCAUCGCAACGUCGACCAAUCAAUGAACAUACUCGAACUGGUCUCUCUAACCCUGUAUGGUUAUUUGCAUCAUAUGUCACUAAAUUUUCAAGAAAGGAGACGUGAAAACACAAAGGAGAAUGUUAUUUACAUGCAUGCAAGUGCUCAGAGUGAACUUUGGAGAAAGACAAUGCUCCAUAGCAAGUCGGUGCUCCAUCACACCAUGGGGACUCAAGUAUGAGACCAUAAGAUCUGGAGGGAAUGUGACGCUCCCUAGAACUACAUUAGACAUGGUUGUAGAAGGUGCCUUAGAAGCAACACCAACAAAGGAGCUUGAAAUAUAGGAGAGCCUAGAGCGUCGAGCAAAUCGCCCCUCGGUCGGCUCAGGAGCAGCUAGGGCAUGGUGGAUGAACUGUAAACAAAAUAGUUAGAAAAGUAGAAUAUUAAAGAUGAAGAAUUCGAAGUAGAUAAAAAAAAGUACCUGAGCCAUAAUGUCAUCAUCAAAAGGCACAGUCCCUAGCAACUGAGGAAUAAAGGAGGCAUAAUCCAUCCACCUAGACCGGAUGGUGAGAUCCUCAGGCUCGUCAUACCCUGCCAAACAUUUCGUUAGUUCCUUCUUAGCGAGAUCCAUUAUCGAGAACAUAGAGAGAGGUGGAGGUAAGGGAACUCAGCGUCUAGUAGGGCCUCGCUCCCACCCAUAGAUCCUCUCGCCUAAGUACUAUGCCCGACAGGUAGGUCCGACUAGUAGAAUCCUCCUCUACUCAAAGUCAGCUGCAAAAAGCAUGUAAGGGUCCUAAUGACGGUGCUCCCCUAGCCAAUCAUCCCAAAUUUGUAAACUUGAAAGGUCAGAGAGUUGAUCCACAUGCGGUGCAUGCGAAUCUACACCCAUUCCAAUGGGACACUCCUACUCAAGGCCCAACGACUCGAGCAAGGGAAAGCCUGCGAGGUGCAGAUGGCUGUGAGCCCACUAGAAGGCCCGUCGCUAGGAUCCAAACCUGCAAAACAAGAAUCAACAUUUGAAUACUAAUAAAAGAAAUAAAAAUAAUAAAGUUAGAGCAUAACUUACAUGGAUCGUAUGCCAGAAGCUGCAGAUCCACUUACUACUAUCUUGGACAAUAAUGUCCAUCUGAUGAUACAAUAUGCGCUAGCUGUAGACCCUUAAUUGUAGGAGGAGACAUGGUCCAAAUCUCACAACGAAGCUAAAUAGUGGAAGUUCAGUGAAUUUCUCGGGUCAUUGAUCAAAGUUGUACCAAAAAGAUAUACUAGAAAGGCUUGGGCCAUCUGAUCCACCUCCCGAGUAUUCCGAGGCACAAAGCCCUAGUAGUGGAGAGGUAUGCUCUGGUAAGCGAUACAACAGGGUUCUUGCACACUGGCAAGAACCCAAGUAAAUCAAUAAUGAAGUGCUCUUGGACAUCGGAGCACUGAUCAUGGAUCGCAUCAUCAAAUGGCAUGAGCAUGUUAGUGAAAUCAACGCCUAACAAAUGCGAGAGGGGAGAGAGUUAACUUGCCGACCGAGGUAUGGAAAGUCUGAGUGAUAUCCAUCCACCUCUCGAGCAAAGCAUAAACGGAGGUAUGGUCCAUCCUCCAAGUAACUAAUGGAAGCGUGGCAGCGAAGCCAGUGUCACUAAUCCUAGCCUAAACCGGGCUUAGGAGUUCGUGAACCACUCACGAGUAUCGUAGAAGUUUCUAGAGAACCAGAUCGACAAAACGUCACUCUGAAAAGCACAAGCACAAGUACAUAAACACGUUGCAAACCAUGUAAGGCCUCAAACAAGUAAGUAUUACAUAAAUUUAUUGAUAUUUUAUGCUAAAACCCUAAAGAUCUUUUCUCAUACUCACAAAUAUACCCCUUUUACAGGGUUUUUUUCUAAUAUUUACAAAUAUACCUCUCUUACGGUUUGUACUCUAAUAUUGAUUAGAUAUACCACUUCUACCGGGUUAUUUUUUCACACUCACUAAUAUACCCCUCUUUCGAGGUUGUUUUCUAAUAUUUACAAAUAUACUCCUCUUAAGUGGUUGUUUUCUUGUAUUAAAAUAUAUACCCCUCUUACAGGAUUUAUUUCUGAUACUCACAAAUAUACCCUUUUACAGGGUUGUGUUGUUUUAUCAUAUUAAAAAAUAUACCCAUUUUAUAAGGUUGUUUUCUUAUACUCAUAAAUAUACCUCACUUAUAGGGUUGUUUUCUUAUAUUAACAAAUACUCCCCUUAUACAGGAUUAUUUUCUCAUACUCACAAAUAUACUAUUCUUACCGAAUUAUUCUCUAAUAAUUACAAAUAUACCCCUCUUAAAGAGUUGUUUUUUUUUAUAUUGAAAAAUAUACUCCUUUUACGGAGCUGUUUUCUAAUAUUCAUAAAUAUACCUUUCUAAUGGGGUUGUUUUCUCAUAUUUAUAAAUAUACUCCUUUUCUGGGAUUAUUCUUUUAUAUUAAAAAAUAUAUCCCACUUACGGGGUUGCUUUCUCGUACUUACAAAUAUACCCCUUACAGGGUUAUUCUCUCACAUUCACAACUAUAUAUUUUUUAUAGGUUUUUUUUCUCACUCACAAACAUACCCCUCUUACGAGAUUAUUUUCUCAUAUUCAUAAAUAUAUCCCUUUUACAGGGUUGUUUUCUAAUUCUCACAAAUAUACCCCUUUAUCGGGGUUAUUUUCUAAUAUUUACAAAUAUACCCCUCUUAUGGGGUUGUUUUCUCAUAUUGAUAAAUAUAUCUCUUUUACGGUAUUGUUUUCACAUACUCACAAUUAUACCUCUCUUACAUGAUUGUUUUAUAAUAUUUAUAAAUAUACCCCUCUUACGCGAUUGUUUUCUCAUAUGAAAAAAUAUAGCCUUUUCACGGGGUUGUUUUCUUAUACUCAUAAAUAUACCUCUUUUACGGGGUUGUUUUCUAAUAUCUACAAAUAUACUACUCUGACGGGUUAUUUUCUCACAUUAAAAGAUAUACUCCUUUUACGAGGUUGUUUUCAUAUUCAUAAAUAUACAUCUUUUACGGGGCUGUUUUCUCAUACUCACAAAAUAUACUUCUGUUACGGGAUUGUUUCCUCAUAUUCAUUAAUAUUCCUCUUUUAUGGGAUUUUCUCAUGCUCACAAAUAUACUCUACUUACAAGGUUGCUUUCUUAUAUUGACAAAUAUGCCCCUUCUCAGGGUUGUUUUCUCAUAUUCAUGAAUAUAUCACUUUUACAGUUUAUCUUUUCAUACUCACAAACAUACACCACUUACAGGAUUGUUUUCUUAUAUUAAUAAAUACACCCUUUUAACGGCUUGUUUUCUAAUAUUUACAAAUAUACCCCUCUUACGAGAUUGUUUUCUCAUAUUAAAAAAUAUAUCCAUGUUACGGGUUGUUUUCUCAUACUCAUAAAUAUACCCCACUUACAAGGUUGUUUUCUUAUAUUGAAAGAUAUACCCUUUUUAUGGGGUAGUUUUCUCAUACUCACAAAUAUACCUCUCUUAUAGGAUUGUUAUCUCAUGUCUUUUACGAGGAUGUUUUCUUAUAGUCACAAAUAUACCUCUCUUACGGGGUUGUUUUCUCAUAUUAAAAAACACACCACUUUUAUGGUGUUGCUUUCUCACACUUACGAAUAUACGCCUCUUAGGGGGUUGUUCUCUAAUAUGUACAAAUAUAUUACUCUAACAAGAUUGUUUAUUCAUAUUAAUAAAUAUAUCCUUCUUACGAUGUUGUUUUCUCAUAUUUAUAAAUAUAACCUUUUUAUGGGGUUGUUAUCUUAUACUCAUAAAUAUACCCCUCUUACAGGAUUGUUUUCUAAUAUUUAUAAAUAUACCCCUCUUACUGGGUUGUUUUCUAAUAUUGAAAGAUAUACAACUUUUUUGUGUUUGUUUUCUCAUACUUGAAAAUAUAACCCUCUUACUGGGUUGUUUUCUAAUAUUUACAAAUAUACUCCUCUUACGGGGUUGUUUUAUCAAAAUAAAAAAUAUUUUCCUUUUACGAGGUUGCUUUCUCAUACUCACAAAUGUACCCUUCGUUUGGGAUGUUUUCUCAUAUUUACAAAUAUACACCUUUUACGACGUUCUUUUCUCAUUCUUACAAAUAUAUCUCUUUCACGGUGUUGUUUCUAAUAUUUACAAAUAUACCCCUCUUACGGGCUUGAUUCUCAUCUUCAUAAAUAUAUCACUUUUAAGGAGUUAUUUUCUCAUACUCACAAAUACACCCCACUUAGAGGGUUGUUUUGUUAUAUUGACAAAUAUAUCCCUUUUACAGGUUAUUUUCUCAUAUUAAUGAAUAUACCAUAUUUAUGGGUUAUUUUUUCAUACUCGCAAAUAUAAUCCACUUAUGGGGUUAUUUUCUUAUAUUGACAAAUAUACCCUUUUAAGGGGUUAUUUCCUAAUAUUUAUAAAUAACCCCACUUACGGGGUUGUUUUAUCAUAUUAAAAGAUAUACCACUUUUAUGAUGUUGUUUUCUCAUUCUUACAAAUAUACCACUCUUGCCGACUUAUUUUCUAAUAUUUAGAAAUAUACCCCUCUUAUGGGGUUGUUUUGUCAUAUUAAAAAUAUACGCCUUUUGUGGGAUUAUUUUUUCAUACUUACAAAUAUACCCAACUUACUCGAUUAUUUUCUUAUAUUAACAAAUAUAUCCUUUUUAUAGGGUACUUUUCUUAUACUAAAAAAUAUACCUCACUUACGAGGUUGUUAUCUCAUAUUAAGAAAUAUAACCUUUUUACAGUGUUGUUUUUUCAUAGUCACAAAUAUACCCCUCUUAUGAGUUUUCUUUUGCAUAUUAAAAAAUAUAAUCCUUUUAGGAGGUUGCUAUCUUAUUCUUACAAAUAUACUCCUCUUACGAGGUUGUUUUCUAAUAUGUACAAAUAUACCGCUCUAACGUGGUUGUUUUCUCAUAUUAAAAGAUAUACUCCUUUUACGGGGUUGUUUUCUCAUGCUCAUAAACCUCUUGCGGGGUUGUUUUCUAAUAUUUACUAAUUUACUCCUCUUACUAGGUUGUUUUUUUCAUAUUGAAAAAUAUACCACUUUUACGGGAUUAUUUACUCAUGCUCACAAAUAUACCCCUCUAACACAAUUCUUUUCUCAUAUUCAUAAAUCCACUCUUUUUGGGAGGUUGUUUUCUCACACUCAUAAAUACACCCAACUCACGGGUUGUUCUCUUAUAUUAAUAAGUAUUACGAGGUUGUUUUAUCAUACUAAAAAAAUACCCCUUUUNNNNNNNNNNNNNNNNNNNNNNNNNNNNNNNNNNNNNNNNNNNNNNNNNNNNNNNNNNNNNNNNNNNNNNNNNNNNNNNNNNNNNNNNNNNNNNNNNNNNNNNNNNNNNNNNAAAUGUACCCCUAGUACAAGGUUGUUUUCUCAUAUUUAUAAAUAUACACCUUUUAUGGCGUUCUUUUCUCAUACUCAUAAAUGCACCUAUUUUACAGAGUUGUUUUCUAAUGUUUAAAAAUAUAUCUCUCUUACGGGUUUGUUUUCUUAUAUUAAAAAAUAUACCCCUUUUACAGGUUGCUUUUCUCAUGCUCACAAACAUACCCCUCGUACGGGUUUUUUUUUUCAUAUUCAUAAAUAUAUCCCUUUUUUACGGGGUUGUUUUCUCAUAUUAGAAAAUAUACCUUCUUUACAGGAUUCUAUUUUUAUAUUGACAAAUAUACCCUUUUUACGUGUUAGUGUUCUCAUACUCAUAAAAUAUACCCCUCUUACGGGGUUGUUAUCUAAUGUUUACAAAUUUACCCCCUAUUACGGGAUUGUUUUCUCAUAUUAAAAAAUAAUCAUUUUUACUGGGAUGCUUUCUCAUAUACCCCUCGUACGAGAUUAUUUCAUAUAUUCAUAAGUAUAACCUUUUUACGGGGUUGUUUUCUCUUACUCAUAAAUAUACCCCUCUUACUGGAUUGUUUAUGAUAUUUACAAAUGUAUUCCUCUUAUAGGGUUGAUUCUCAUAUUCAUAAAUACAUUACGAAGUUUUUUUCAUACUUACAAAUAUACCCCACUUAUGGGGUUGUUUUCUUAUAAAGAAAAUUAUACCCAUUUAAGAGGUUGCUUUCUCAUACUAGAAAAUAUACCCCUCUUACGGGGUUGAUGCUCACAUUCAUAAAUAUAUUAUUUUUAUUGGGUGAUUUUCUCAUACUCACAAAUAUAUCUAUCUUACGGUGUUGUUUUCUAAUAUUAACAAAUAUACUCCAUCUAUGGGGUGCUUUUCUUGUAUUGUCAAAUGUACCCCUUUUACUAGGCUGUUUUCUCAUAUUCAUAAAUAUAUCUCUUUUAAGUGGUUGAAUUCUCAUAUUUAUAAAUAUACUCCUUUUACGAAGUUAUUUUCUCAUACUUAAAAAUAUACCGCACUUACGGGGUUAUUUUCUUGUAUUGACAAAUAUAUCCCUGUUACGGGGUUGUUCUCUCAUACGCACAAAUAUACCUCUCUUACAAGGUUGUUUUCUAAAAUUUAUAAAUAUACCCUUCUUACGAAGUUGUUUUUCUAUAUUAAUAAAUAAACCCUUUUUAUGGGGUUCUUUUCUCAUACUGACAAAUAUAGCCUUCUUGCAAGAUUGGUUUCUUAUAUUGAUAAAAUAUACCCCUUUUACGAGGUUGUUUUCUAAUAUUCACAAAUAUACCCUAUUUACGAGGUUGCUUUCUCAUACUAAAAAAUAUACCCCUUGUUCGAGGUUGUCUUCUCAUAUUCAUAAAUAUACCACUUUUAUAGGAUUAUUUUCUCAUACUCACAAAUACACCCCUUUUACGGGGUUGUUAUCUUAUAUUAACAAAUAUACCCCUCUUACGAGGCUUAUUUCUCAUAUUCAUAAAUAUGCCCCUUUUAUGGAGUUGCUUUAUAAUAUUUAAAAAUACACCCCUUUUACAGGGUUGUUUUCUUAUAUUAAAAAAUUCACUCCUUGUAUGAGAUUUAUUUUAUAGUGACAAAUAUAUCCCUCUUACAGGUUUUUUCUAAUAAUUACAAAUUUACCCUUCUUACAGGGUUUUUCUCAUAAUUACAAAUAUACCCCUCUUAUAGGGUUGUUUUCUCAUGUUAAAAGAAUAUACCCCUUUUAUGAGGUUGCUUUCUUAUACUCACAUAUAUACUCCACUUACGGGGUUGUUUUAUUAUAUAAACAAAUGUACCCUUUCUAUGAGAUUCUUUUCUCAUAUUCACAAAUAUACCCAUCAUACAAGGUUAUUUUUUCAUAUUCAUAAAUAUACCGCUUUUACAGGGUUGUUUCUCAUAAUCAGAAAUAUAUCGUUCUUACAGGGUUGUUUUCUCAUAUUAAAAAAUAUACCCCUAUUUACGGGUUGCUUUUUCAUACUGACAAAUGUACUCCACUUACGGGGUUGCUUUCUCAUAUUGACAAAUGUACUCCACUUACGGGGCUAUUUUCUUGUAGUGUCAAAUAGACCCUUUUUACAGGGUUAUUUUCUCAUAUUGACAAAUAUACCCUAUUACGGGGUUGAUUUCUCAUAUUCAUAAAUAUAUCCCUUUUACGAGGUUGUUUUCUCAUACUCAAAAGUAUACCCCUCAUGCGGGAUUGUGUUGACAUAUUCAUAAAUAUAACCCUUUUAUAGGGUGGUUUUCUUAAACUGACAUAUACACCCCUCUUAUGGGAAUGUUUUUAUAAUAUUUAGAGAUAUAACACUCUUAAAUGGUUGGUUCCUUAAACUCAUAAAUAUACCUCCACUUACAAGGUUGUUUUCUUAUAUUGAUAAGUAUUCUCUUUUACGGGUUUGUUUUCUCAUACUCACAAUUUACAGGGUUGUUUUUUAAUAUUUAUAAAUACACCCUUCUUACGUGGUUGUUUUUUCAUAUUAAUAACUAUACCGUUUUUACGAGGUUGUUUUUUCAUACUCACAAAUAUACCCCUCUUACGGGGUUUAUUUCGUAAAUAUACCCCUUUUAUGUAGUUAUCUUCUUAUACUAAAAAAUACACCAUUUUAUGGGGUUGUUUUCUUAUAUUAACAAAUAUACCCCUUUUACGGGGUUAUUUUCUCAUACUCACAGAUGUACCCCUCUUACUGAGUUGUUUCCUUAUAUUGAUAAAAUAUACUCCUUUUACGAGGGUGUUUUCUCAUAUUCACAAAUAUACCCCUCUUAUGGGGUCUAUUUCUCAUAUUCAUAACUAUACCCCGUCUAUAGAGUUGUUUUCUCAUACUAAAAAAUACACUCCUUUUACGAGGUUAUUUUCUUAUAUUAAAAAGUACACCCAAUUUACGAGGUUGCUUUCUCAUAAAUAUACCAUUCGUAUGGGGUUAUUUUCUCAAACUAGAAAUAUACCCCUAUUACGGGGUUGUUUUCUAGGAUUUACAAAUAUACAUAAAUAUAUUGUUUUCUAGGAUUUACAAAUAUACAUAAAUAUACCCUUUUAUGAGGUAGUUUCUCAUACUCAUAAAUAUACCCCUAACUUACAGGGUUGUUUUCUUAUAUCGACAAUUAUUUCCCCUUUAUAGGGUUUCUUUCCCAUACUAACAGAUAUACCCCUCUUAUGGGGUUGUUUUAUAGUAUUUAAAAAUAUACCUCUCUUACAGGAUUGUUUUCUCAUAUUAAAAAAAUACCGUUUUUUUCGUUGUUGCUUUCUCAUAUUAAAAAAAUACCAUUUUUUUCGUUGUUGCUUUCUCAUACUCACAAUUAUAUCCCUCGUAUAGGGUUAUUCUCUCAUACUCACAAAUACCCUCUUACGGGUUUGUUAUUCUCAUGCUCAUAAGUAUAUCCAUCAUACGUGUUUGUUUUCACAUAUUCAUAAAUAUAACACUUUUAUAAGAUGAUCUUCUCAUAUUAACAAAUAUGCCCCUCUUAUGGGGUAAUUUUCUAAUAUUUACAGACAUAACUCUCUUACAAGGUUGUUUUCUCGUACUCACAAAUAUACCCCUCUUACGGGGUUGUUUUCUAAUAUUUAUGAAUAUCCCCCCUCUUACGAAAUUGUUUUCUCAUUUUAAAAAAUAUACACCUUUCACAGGGUUAUUUUCUCACACUCAUAAAUAUACCCCAUUUACAGUGUUGUUUUCUUAUAUUGAUAAAUAUACCUAUUUUAUUAAGUUGUUUUCUCAUAAUAACAGCCCCUCUUAUGGGGUUGAUAUCCCAUAUUCAUAAAUAUAUCCUGAGUUAUAGUGUUGUGUUAUCACACUCACAUAUAUACCCCAUCUUACGGGGUUGUUUUCUUAUAUUGACAAAUAUUACUCUUCUAUAGGGUCGUUUUUUCAUACUCACGAAUAUACCACACUUACGGAGUUAUUUUCUAAUAUUCACAAAUAUACCUCUCUUACUACGUUGAUUUCUUAUAUUCAUAAAUAUACCCCAUGUUAUGGUGUUGUUUUCCCAUACUCAUAAAUAUACCCCUUUUCAAGGUUGUUUACUCAUAUUUAUAAAUAUACCAUUUUUAUGGGGUUGUUUUCUCAUACUCACAAAUAAAUCCCUCUUACAGAAUUAUUUUCUAAUAUUUAUAAAUAUACCAUCCUUACUGUGUUGUUUUCUCAUAUUCAUAAAUAUACCCCUUUUACGCAGUUGUUUUUUCAUAUUGAUAAAUAUACCCCACUUAUGGGUCUGUGUUCUAAUAUUUACAAAUCUGCCACUCUUGCGGGGUUGUUUUCUUAUAUUAAAAGCUAUACUCCUUUUACUGAGUUAUUUCUUCAUACUCACAAAUAUGCCACACUUAGGGGGUUGUUUUUUUAUAUUCACAAAUAUAUUGCUUUUAUGAGGUUGUUUUCUCAUAUUAAAUAUAGCCCUCUUACAGGAUUAUUUUCUCAUACUCACAAAUAUACCCCUCUUACGUGAUUGUUUUCUUAUAUUGAUAAAUAUACUCCUUUUACAGUGUUGUUUUCUCAUACUCAUAUAUAUAUUCCUCUUACGAGAUUAUUUUGUAAUAUUUAUAAAUACACCCCUCUACGGGUUUGUUUUCUCAUAUUAAAAAAUACACCAUAUUAUAGGAUUUUUUUCUCAUAGUCACAAAUAUACCAGUCGUACGUGGUUGUUUUCUCAUACUCACAAAUAUAUAAAUUUUAUGGGGUUAUUAUCCAGUAUUUAUAAAUAUGCCCCUCUUACGGGGGUUCAUACUCACAAAUAUACCUCGCUUACGGGGUUGUUUACUUAUGUCAAUAAAUAUACCCGUUUUACGAGAUUAUUUUCUCAUACUCACAAAUAUACCCCUCUUACAGGAUUUUUUUCUCAUACUUACAGAUAUACCCCACGUAUAGGGUUNNNCGUAUAGGGUUGUUUUCUAAUAUUUAUAAAUAUACCCAUCUGACGGGGUUGUUUUCUCAUUUUAAAAAAUUCACCCCUUAUACGAGUUUACUUUCUCAUACUCACAAGUAUACUCCUCUUACGGGGUAGUUUUCUCGUACUCAUAAAUAUACCCCUCUUACGGGGUUGUGUUCUAAUAUUUAUGAAUAUCCCCCCUUUUAGGAUUUUUUUUAUACUUACAAAUAUACAGCACUUACGGUGUUGUUUUCUUAUAUUGAUAAAUAUGCCCCUUUUAUGGGGUUGUUUUCUCAUAAUAACAAAAAUACCCCUCUUACUGGCUUGAUUUUCCAUAUUCAUAAAUAUAUCAUUGUUACAAUGUUCUCUUAUUACACUCACAAAUAUACCCCACUUACGGGGUUUUUUUUAUAUUGUCAAAUAUUUUUCUUUUAUGGGGUUGUUUCCUCAUACUCAUUAGUAUACCCCUCUUACGAGAUUUUUUGUUAUAUUGACAUAUAUUUUUCUUUUACGCGGUUGUUUUUUCAAAUUCAUAAAUAUACCUUUUUUUAGAAGAUUGUUUACUCAUACUCACAAAUAAAACCCAUUUUACGGAGUUAUUUUCUAAUAUUUACAUUUAUACCCCUUUCGGGGUUGUUUUCUCAUAUUCACAAAUAUACCCUUUUAUGCUGUUGUUUUUUCAUACUCAUAAAUAUACACCCCAUACAGAGUUAUUUUCUUAUAUUGAUAAAUAUAGCCUUUUUCAAGGGAUUGUUUUCUUAUACUCACAAAUAUACCCCUCUUACAUGGAUGUUUUCUAAUGACAAAUAUAUCUCUUUUACGGUGUACUCACAUAUAUACUCCUCUUACGAGGUUUUUUGUAAUAUUUACAAACAUACUCCUUUUACGGGCUUGUUUUCUCAUAUUAAAAAAUACACCCCUAUUAUGGGGUUGGUUUCUCAUAUUCACAGAUAUACCUAUCGUGCGGGGUUAUAUUCUCAUACUCACAAAUAUACACCUUUUAUGGGAUUAUUUUCUAGUAUUUACAAAUAUACCCCUCUUACAGGGCCUUUUUUAUUAUUUUUGUAAAUAUACCUAUUUUACGGGGUUGCUUUUUCAUACUUACAAAUAUACUCCACUUACGGGGUUGUUCUCUUUUAUUAACAAAUAUACUCCUUUUAUGAGGUUGUUUUGUCAUACUCACAAAUAUACUCCUCUUACAGGGUUGUUUUCCAGUAUUUAUAAAUAUACCCAUCUUACGGGGUUCUUUACUCAUACUCACAGAUAUACCCCUCAUACGGGGUUGUUUUUAAACAUUUACAAAUAUACACCUCCUAUGGGGUUGUUUUCUCAUUUUAAAAAAUUCACCCCUUAUACGAAUUUACUUUCUCAUACUCGUAAGUAUACCUCUUACGGGGUUCUUUUCUUGUACUCACAAAUAUACCCCUCUGACGGGGUUGUGUUCUAAUUGUUACAAAUAUUUUUCUUUUACGGGAUUAUUUUCUCAUUUUAAAAGAUAUACAACUUCUACGGGUUGUUUUUCACACUCACAAAUAUGCUCAAGUUACGAUGUUGUUUCUUAUAUUGACAAAUAUAUCCAUUUUACAGGGUUGUUUUGUCAUAAUAAUAAAUAUAUUCGUCUUACAGAGUUGAUUUCUCAUAUUCAUAAAUAUAACUCGUAUUACAGGGUGGUGUUCUCACACUCACAAAUAUACCCCAUUUACGGGGUUGGUUUCUUGUAUUGACAAAUAUUCUCCUUUUAUAGAGUUGUUUUCUCAUACACACAAAUAUACCCUUCUUAAGGGAUUAUUUCUUAUAUUGACAAAUAUUCCCCUUUUAUGGAGUUGUUUUCUCAUACUCACAAAUAUACCACUUUUAUGGGGUUGUUUUCUCAUAUUCAUAAAUAUACCCCUUUUUACGGGAUUGCUAUCUUACACUCAUAAAUAAACCCCUUUUACGUAGUUGUAUUCUAAUAUUUACAAAUAUAACCCUUUACAGGAUUAUUUUCUCAUACUCACAAAUAUACCCCUCUUACGUGAAUGUUUUCUUAUGACAAAUAUACAUCUUUUACGAUGUACUCACAUAUAUACUCCGCUUACGAGAAUUUUUAUAAUAUUUACAAAUAUACCCCUCUUACAAGCUUAUUUUCUCAUAUUAAAAAAUACAUCCUUAUUAUGGGGUUGCUUUCUCAUAUUCAUAAAUAUACCCGUCGUACGGGGUUGUUUUCUCAUACUCACAAAUAUACACAUGUUACGUGAUUAUUUUAUAGUAUUUACAAAUAUACCCCUCUUACAGGGUCUUUUUUAUAAUUUUUAUAAAUAUACCGCUUUUAGGGGGUUGCUUUUUCAUACUUACAAAUAUACACAUGUUACGUGAUUAUUUUUUUUAGUAUUUACAAAUAUACCCCACUUACGGGGUUGUUCUCUUAUAUUAACAAAUAUACUUCUUUUACGAGGUUAUUUUGUCAUACUGACAAAUAUACUCCCCUUACAGGGUUAUUUUCUAGUAUUUAUAAAUAUACCCAUCUUACGGGGUUCUUUUCUCAUACUCAUGGAUAUACCCCUCAUACGGGGUUGUUUUCUAACAUUUACAAAUAUACACCUCCUACAGGGUUGUUUUCUCAUUUUAAAAAAUUCACCCCUUGUACGAAUUUACUUUCUCAUACUCAUAAGUAUACCUCUUACGGGGUUGUUUUCUUGUACUCACAAAUAUACCCCUCUGAUGGGGUUGUAUUCUAUUUGUUACGAAAAUUCUCCUCUUACGGGAUUGCUUUCUCAUUUUAAAAAAUAUAUAUCUUCUACGGGGUUAUUUUUUCACACUCACAAAUAUACUCCAGUUACAGUGUUGUUUCUUAUAUUAAUAAAUAUACCCAUUUUACAGGGUUGUUUUAUCAUAAUAACAAAUAUACUCGUCUUACGGGGUUAAUUUCUCAUAUUUAUAAAUAUAACGUGUGUUACAGGGUGGUGUUCUCACACUCACAAAUAUACCCCAUUUAUGGGGUUGUUUUCUUAUAUUGAUAAAUAUUCUCCUUUUAUGGGGUUAUUUUCUCAUAUACAUAAAUAUAUCCCUCUUAAGGGAUUGUUUCUUAUAUUUACAAAUAUUCCUCUUUUAUAGGGUUGUUUUCUCAUACUCACAAAUAUACCACUCUUAUGGGGUUGUUUUCUCAUAUUCAUAAAUAUACCCCUUUUAUGGGAUUGCUUUCUCACACUCACAAAUAAACCCCUUUUACGUAGUCAUAUUCCAAUAUAUACACAUAUAACCCUUUACAGGAUUAUUUUCUCAUAUUCACAAAUAUACCCCUGUUACGUGGAUAUUUUCUUAUGACAAAUAUACAUCUUUUAUAGGGUACUCAUAUAUAUACUCCUCUUAUGAGAUCUUUUAUAAUAUUUAUAAAUAUACCCUUCUUACGGGCUUAUUUUCUCAUAUUAAAAAAUACACCCCUAUUAUGGGUUUACUUUCUCAUAUUCACAAAUACACCCAUCGUACGGGGUUCUUUUCUUAUACUCACAAAUUUACACCUUUUAUGUGAUUAUUUUCUAGUAUUUACAAAUAUACCCCUCUUAUGGGGUCUUCUUUAUCAUUUUUAUAAAUAUACCGCUUUACGGGGUUGCUUUUUUAUACUCACAAAUAUACCCCAUUAGGUUGUUAUCUUAUAUUAACAAAUAUACUCCUUUUAUGGGGUUGUUUUCUCAUAGUGACAAAUAUACUCCUCUUACAGGAUUGCUUUCUAAUAUUUAUAAAUAUACCCAUCUUACGAGGUUCUUUUCUCAUACUCACAGAUAUACCCCUCAUACGGGGUUAUUUUCUAACAUUUACAAAUGUACACCAGAUAUCGAGUUGUUUUCUCAUUUUAAAGAAUUCACCCCUUAUUUCUCAUACUCAUUAGUAUACCCUUUACGAGGUUGUUUUCUUGUACUCACAAAUAUACCGUAAUUGUUACAAAUAUUUCCAUCUUACGGGAUUAUUUUCUCAUUUUAAAAAAUAUACACCUUUUAAUGGUUGUUUUUUCACACUCACAAAUAUACUCAAAUUACGAUAUUGUUUCUUAUAUUGACAAAUAUACCCGUUUUAUAGGGUUGUUUUGUCAUAAUAACAAAUAUAUUCAUCUUACGGGAUUGAUUUAUCAUAUUCAUAAAUAUAACGCGUGUUACAGGAUGGUGUUAUCACACUCACAAAUAUACCCCAUUUCACAGGGUUGUUUUCUUAUAUUGAUAAAUAUUCCCUUUUUAUGGGAUUGUUUUCUCAUACAAACAAAUAUACCCUCUUAAGAGAUUGUUUCUUAUAUUGACAAAUAUUCUCCUUUUACGGGGUUGUUUCUCAUACUCAUAAAUAUACCACUCUUACGGGGUUAUUUUCUCAUAUUCAUAAAUAUAUCCCUUUUUACGGGAUUGCUUUAUCACAUUCAUAAAUAAACCCCUUUUACGGAGUUGUAUUAUAAUAUUUACACAUAUACCCCUUUACAGGGAUGUUUUCUCAUAUUCAUAAAAUAUCCCUUUUACACUAUUAUUUUUCAUGCUCACAAAUAUACCCCACUUACGAAGUUAUUUUCUUAUAUUGAUAAAUAUACCCCUUUUAUGUGGUUGCUUUCUCAUAUUAAAAAUAAACCCUCUUACGGAGUUGAUUUCUUAUAUUUAUAAAUAUACCCCUUUUACUAAGUUAUUUUCUUAUACACACAAAUAUACUGUACUUAUGGGGUUGUUUUCUUAUAUUGGCAAAUAUACCCUUAUUAUUGGGUUCUUUUCUAAUAUUUACAAAUAUACCCUCUAUUGCAGGGUUGACUUCUCAUAUUCAUAAAAAUACCCUGUGUUAUGGGGUUAUUUUCUCAUACUCACAAAUGUACCCAUCUUACGGGGUUAUUUUCUAGUAUUUACAAAUAUGCCCGUCUUAUGGGAUAUUUUUCUCAUACUCACAGAUAUACCCCUCAUACAGGAUUGUUUUCUAAUAUUUAUAAAUAUACCCAUCUUACGGGUUGUUUUUCAUUUCAAAAAAUACACCCCUUUUACGAGUUUGUUUUCUCAUACAUACUAGUAUACUCUUGGUACGUUGUUGUUUUCUCAUACUCACAGAUAUAUACCUCUUACGGGGUUAUUUUCUCAAUUUUGUAAAUAUAUCCCUUGUGCGAGGUUGUUUUCUCAUACUCACAAAUAUACCUCACUUACUAGGUUGUUCUCUUAUAUUGAUAAAUAUACCCCUUAUACGGGUUUGUUUUCUCAAACUCAUAAAUAUACCCCUCUUAAGGUGUGUUUACUAAUAUUUAUAAAUAUACCUCUUUUACAAGGUUGUUUUCUUAUGGUAAAAAAUACAUCCCUAAUAUUUACAAAUAUACCCCUCGUGCGGGAUUAUUUUCUCAUACUCAUAAAUAUACCACUCUUACGGGAUUGUUUUCUCAUAUUCAUAAAUAUACCCCAUUUAUGUGGUUUUUUUAUACUCACAGAUAUAUCCCACUUGUGGGGUUAUUUUUUAAUAUUGACAAAUAUACAUCUUUUACGCGGUUGUUUUCUCAUAUUCACAAAUAUACCCCUCUUAUGGGGUUGAUUUCUCAUAUUCCUAAAUAUACCCCUUUUAUGGAAUUCUUUUCUCAAACUCAAAAAAAUACCCUACUUACGACUUUGUUUUCUUGAAUUGACAAAAAUAUCCCUCUUACGGGAUUAUUUUCUAUUAUUUAUAAAUAUAGCUCCUCUUACGAGAUUUUUUCCUCAUAUUAAAAAAUAUACCCCUUUUACGAGGUAGUCAUAUGAUAUUUACAAAUACACCACACUUACGAGAUUAUUUUCUAAUAUUGACAAAUAUAAUCCUUUUACGGGGUUGAUUUCUCAAUUCAUAAAUAUAUACCCUGUGUUAUGGGUGUAACGACCUGGAACCAAAUCAUAAGAGAUAUUCUCCUCUUUGGCACCCAUUGGCCUCACGGUUUUGUCUCUUUGGCGAGAACUUCCCAGGAGGUCACCCAUCUUGGAAUUUCUCUGAACCAAGCACGUUUAGCUUUAGAGUUCCUACUACUCCACAGCCAAACAACCAAAAAACCACUAAUGUUAUUAAUCCCAACUCUUUAGAUAUAUUUUAUCAAUUAUUCCUAUCCCAUUUCGAUGUAUAAUUCGAUUCAUUCAUAUAUUCCUGUACCUUAGAGUGCUAUCAUCCUAGAAGCCUGCCAUAAACCGCUCAUUGUCCAGGCAUCAUAUCCUUUCCCCGGCGUCCGCUUCCCACCCUCGUCGAACCGCUUCUCUAGGUUAGGCUGUCACAUGCCCACCAGCUUCCGCCUGGUUCGUACUCGAACUACACAUCUACUAGAGGGGUACUACUCUAAUACCAUUUGUAACAACUUGGAACCAGAUCACAUGAGAUAUUGUCCGCUUUGCCCUCCACUAGCUUCUAGUUUUGUCCCUUUAGCGGGUUCGAGAACUUCCCAAGAGGUCACCUAUCCUGGAAUUUCUCUAAACCAACCUCAUUUAAUUUUGGAGUUCUUACAACUCUAUAGCCAAACAACCAAAAGACGCCUCAUGUGAUUAGCUCCAACUCUUUACAUAUAUGUUAUCAAUCAUUCCCACCUCAUUUCGAUGAGCAAUUCGAUUCAUUCAUGUACCCCCGUACCUUAGACUGCUGCAAUCCUAGAAGCCUGCAAGAAGCCGCUCCUUGUCUAGGCAUCCUAUCCUUGCCCCCAAUGUCUGUUUUUCGCCCUCGUCGGACCGCUUCUCUAGGUCAGGUUGUCACAACGAGGUUGUUCUCUUUUACUUAUAAAUAUAUCCCUCUUAUGGUGCUUUAUAUAGUAUUUACAAAUAUACUCCUUUUACGAAGUUUGUUUUCUCACAUAGAUAUACCCCUCAUAUGAGAUUAUUUUCUAAAAUUUAUAAAAAUACCCCUCUUACAGGGUUGUUUUCUCAUAUUAAAAAAUAUACCCAUUUUACGAGGUUGCUUUCUCAUACUCAUAAAUAUACACCUUUUACAAGGUUGUUUUAUAAUAUUUACAAAUAUACCCCUCUUAGGUGAUUUUUUUCAAAUUCAUGAAUAUACCUAUUUUACGGGGUUAUUUUCUCAUACUCAUAAAUAUACUCCACUUACGGCUUUGUUCUCUUAUAUAGAUAAAUAUACCCCUUUUACGGGGUAGUUUUGUCAUACACACAAAAUACCCCUCUUAAGGGGUUGUUUUCUAAUACUUACAAAUAUACCCCUCCUACGAGGUUGUUUUCUCAUACUAAAAAAUACACCAGUUUUAUAGGUUUUUUUUCUCAUACUCACAAAUAAACCUUUGGUACGAGGUUGUUUUCUGAUACUCACAAAUAAACCCCUGGUACAAGGUUAUUUUCUCAUACUCACAAAUAUACCCCUUUUACGGAGUUUUUUUUAGUAUUUAAAAAUAUACCCCUCUUACGGAGUUUUUUUCUCAUACUCACAAAUAUACCCCUAUUACGGGGUUGCAUUCUAAUAUUUACAAAUAUAACCCUCUUACAGGGUUGUGUUCUCAUAUUAAAAAAUACACCCAUUUUAUGGAGAUGCUUUCUCAUACUCAUAAAUAUACCCCUCGUACGGGGUUGUUUUCUUAUACUCACAAAUAUAUACUUCUUACAGGGUUAUUUUUCAAUAUUUACAAAUAUAUCCCUCUUACGGAAUUUUUUCUCAAAUUCAUAAAUAUACCCCCAAUGCGGGAUUGUUUUCUCAUACUCACAAAUAUACUCCACUUACACGUUUGUUUUCUUAUAUAGACAAAUCUACCCCUCUUACGAGCAUAUAUACGUUUUUUAAGGGGUUAUUUUCUAAUAUUUAUAAAUAUACCGUUCUUACGGGGUUGGUUUCUCACUCACAAAUAUACCCAAAGUACGAGGUUGUUUUCUCAUACUCAUAAGUAUACCACUGUUACAGGGUUUUUUUGCAUAUUGAGAAAUAUAUCCCUUUUACGGGGUUGUUUUCUCAAACUCACAAAUCCUCUUUUACAAGAUUCUUUUCUAAUAUUUAAAAAUAUAUAUCCCUUUUACAGGUUAAUUUCUCAUAUUCACAAUAUAACCCUUUUAUGCGAUUGUUUUUUCGUACUCACAAAUAUAUCCUACUUAUGGGGUUGUUUUCUUAUAUUAACAAAUACACCCCUCUUACGAGGUUGUUUUCUAAUACUUACAAAUAUACCCCCUAUUACGGGGUUGUUUUCUCAUAUUAAAAAAUAUAUCCCUUUUAUGGGGUUGUUUUCUCACACUCACAGAUAUACCCCUUUUAAGGGGUUGUUUUCUAAUAUUUACAAAUAUAACCCUCUUACGAGGUUGUUUCCUCAUAUUAAGAAAUAAUACCCAUUUUACAGGUUAAUUUCUCAUACUCGCAAAUAUACCCCUCGGAAAACUCAAGUGUACUCCUCUUGUGCGGUUGUAUUCUCAUAUUCAUAAAUAUAGCCCUCUUAUAGGAUUUUUCUCUCAUACUCAUAGAUAUACCCCUCUUACGGAGUUGUUUUCUAAUAUUUAUGAAUAUACCCCAUUUACGAGAUUGUUUUCUUAUAAUUACAGAUAUACCUCUCUUAAGGGUUUUUUAUAAUAUUUAUAAAUAUGCGUCUCUUACGAGGUUGUUUUCUCGUAUUAAAAAAUACACUCAUUUUUUGGGAUUGCUUUCUCAUACUCACAAAUAUACCCCUCGUUCGGGGUUGUUUUCUCAUACUCACAAAUAUAACACUCUUACAGGGUUUUUUUCUCAUAUUUUCAAAUAUACCCCUUUUACGUGGUUAUUUUCUCACAUUUAGAAAUAUACUCCUCUAACGGGGUUGAUUUCUCAUACUCAUAAAUAUACCUCUUUUACGUAUUUAUUUUUUCAUACUCACAAAUAUACCCCACUUACAAAGUUAUUUUCUUAUAUUGAUAAAUAUACCCCUCUUAUAGAGUUAUUUUUUCAUACUCACAAAUAUUCUCCACUUACGGGAUUAGUUUAUAAUAGUCAUAAAUAUACCCUACUUAUGGUAUUUUUUCUGAUAUUUACAAAUAUACCCCUCUUAUGAGGUUGUUUUCUUAUAUUUAUUAAUAUGUACCCCCUCUUAAGGGGUUGUUUUCUCAUAUUAAGAAAAGCUCUUUUUACGGGGUUCUUUUUUUCAUACUCACAAAUAUACCAAAUAUAUAUGGUUGUCUUCCUAUAUUAACUAAUGUACCCCUAUUUAUGGGGUUGUUUUUCUCAUAUUCAUAAAUGUAUCCCUAAUACGGGGUUCAUUUCUCAUAUUCAUAUAUAUAUAUAUAUAUACAUAUAUAUACCCCAUGCUACGGGGUUGUUGUCUGAUACCCAUAAAUAUACCCCUCUUACGUGAUUGUUUUCUAGUAUUUACAAAUAUAGCCCUCUUACAAGGUUUUUCUCUCAUACCCACACGAGGUUGUUUUCUAAUAUUUAUAAAUAUACCACUCUUACGUAGUUGUUUUCUCAUUUUAAGAAAUACACCCAUUUUACGGGGUUGUUUUCUCAUACUAAAAUAUUAACCUGUGUACGAGGUUGUUUUCUCAUACUCACAAAUAUACAACUUUCACGGGAUUAGUUUUCAGUAUUUACAAAUAUACCCCUCUUAUGGGGUUUUUUCUCAAAUUCAUAAAUAUAUCCAUUUAAUGAUGUUUUCUCAUACUCACAUAUAUAAUCUACUUACGGGUUUCUUCUCUUAUAUUGAAAAAAUAUACCCCUUUUAUAGGAUUGUUUUCUCAUACUCACAAAUACACCCCUUUUAAGGGUUAUUUUCUAAUAUUUAUAAAUAUACCCCUUUUACGAGGUUGUUUUCUCAUAUUAAAAAAUACACCCCUUUUACGGGCUUACUUUCUUAUACUCCCAAAUAUAUGCCUUGUACGGGAUCGUUUCUCAUACUCACAAAUANNNNNNNNNNNNNNNNNNNNNNNNNNNNNNNNAAUAUGCCCCCUCUUACGGGGUUGUUUUCUCAUAUUCAUAAAUAUACUUGUUUUACGUGGUUAUUUUGUCAUACUCAUGGAUAUACCUCUUUUACGGGAUUCUUUCUAAUAUUUAUAAAAUACCUUUUUUACGGGCUGUUUUCUCGUAUUCCAAAUAUAACCCUUUUAUGCUGUUAUUUUUUCAUACUCACAAAUAUACCCCACUCGGGGUUGUUUUAUCGUAGUUACAAAUAUACCCUACUUACAGGGUUAUUUUUUUCUAUUCACAAACAUAUACCUCUUAUGAGGUUAUUUUCUAAUAUUUAUAAAUAUACCCUCUCUUACGGGGUUGUUUUCUCCUAUUAAAAGAUAUACUUCUUUUACGGGGUUGUUUAUUCAUAUUCACAAAUAUACCACACUUACGUGGUUGCCUUGUUAUAUUGACUAAUCCACCCUUUUUACGAGGUUGUUUUCUUAUAUUCACAAAUAUACCAUUCUUACAGAGUUGAAUACUCAUAUUCAUAAAUAUACCUUAUAACACCCCAACUCAAACUUCCCAUUGAAUAGCAAUAUAUAUAUAUAUAUAUAACUUUAUAAACAUAAUUUACUACUUAGUUACAAUAUACAUUCAUACAAUUUAAGUGGCAUGACAUACUUAAUAUAUAUAAGAAAUAUUUAUACAGUAGUUUAAUUCACACAAGUUCCCAAAAUGCCCCAAUGCUUUAGAUAACUCCUCUGGCCCACCUGAUAAUAUUGACUGAUGCAAAAAGAGCAAUGCACAGCUAAGGCUAUCUACAACUGCACUAACCUGAAAAAAAAAAUUGCUAAGGAAUGAGCUAGCGACUCAAUAAGCAUUUAAUUUACUAAACUAUAGUAUAUUAGGCUAGAAUU